rnacentral:rRNA from 1 species
AACGAACGCUGGCGGCAUGCCUAACACAUGCAAGUCGAACGAGACCUUCGGGUCUAGUGGCGCACGGGUGCGUAACGCGUGGGAACCUGCCCUUAGGUUCGGAAUAACUCCCCGAAAGGGGUGCUAAUACCGGAUAAUGUCUUCGGACCAAAGAUUUAUCGCCUUUGGAUGGGCCCAGGUUGGCUUAGCUAGUUGGUAGGGUAAAAGCCUACCAAGGCGACGAUCCAUAGCUGGUCUGAGAGGAUGAUCCGCCACACUGGGACUGAGACAGGGCCGAGAGUCAGAAGGGAGGUAGCAGUGGGGAAUAUUGGACAAGGGGGGAAUGCGGGAUCGAGUCAUGUCGCGUGUGUGCAGAAGGUCUUAGGAUUGUAGAGCAAUGUAAGUUGGGAGGAAGGGCAGUAAGUUAAUACCGUGCGGUUUUGACGUGACCAACAGAAUAAGCACCGGCUACCUUCGUG